rnacentral:rRNA from 1 species
GAUAAACGCUGGCGGCGUGCCUAACACAUGCAAGUCGAACGAUCCCGCAAGGGAGAGUGGCGGAAGGGUGAGUAACACGUGGGAAUCUACCUCCUCGCAGGGAACAACCUCUCGAAAGAGAGGCUAAUACCCAAAAGGGUCAGUAAUGAUCAGAGUCGAAAGGCGUGAGGAGAGGAGCCCGCGGCCCAUCAGCUAGUUGGUGAGGUAAUGGCUUACCAAGGCUACGACGGGUAGGGGAUCUGAGAGGAUGUCCCCCACACUGGAACUGAAACACGGUCCAGACGCCUACGGGUGGCAGCAGUGAGGAAUAUUGGACAAUGGGCGAAAGCCCGAUCCAGCAACGCCGCGUGGAGGAUGAAGGCCUUGGGUCGUAAACUUCUUUAGAGGGAGACGAGAAAGGACGGUAUCCCUAGAAUAAGCGACGGCAAACUACGUGCCAGCAGCCGCGGUAAU